rnacentral:rRNA from 1 species
UGGGGAAUUUUGGACAAUGGGGGCAACCCUGAUCCAGCCAUGCCGCGUGCGGGAAGAAGGCCUUCGGGUUGUAAACCGCUUUUGUCCGGAAAGAAAAGGCACCCCCUAAUACGGGGUGUUCUUGACGGUACCGGAAGAAUAAGCACCGGCUAACUACGUGCCAGCAGCCGCGGUAAUACGUAGGGUGCGAGCGUUAAUCGGAAUUACUGGGCGUAAAGCGUGCGCAGGCGGUCCGCAAAGUCUGAUGUGAAAGCCCCGGGCUCAACCUGGGAACUGCAUUGGAAACUAACGGGCUUGAGUGUGGCAGAGGGGGGUGGAAUUCCACGUGUAGCAGUGAAAUGCGUAGAGAUGUGGAGGAACACCGAUGGCGAAGGCAGCCCCCUGGGCUAACACUGACGCUCAGGCACGAAAGCGUGGGGAGCAAACA